UAUAACCAUUUUCAUUGUUAAAGAACCGUUGCGAUAGAGUAUUUUAUAGUAACGAUUAUACGAACCAUUGCUAUAGAAUCAUCAAUGGAAACCUUAAUUGAAUAAAAAAAGAUAUUACAACGGUAUAACUAUUCCCACCAAAAAAAUUUGCUAAGUCUGCCAACAAAAACCCUUUAUUCUCCGAUCCACCCUUUCAUCACUUUUCAUCUGGCAUACUCCAAUCCGCCAAAAAAAUUUCACUUAGUCCGAUCCGCCACUACUCCAACCACCAUACGUCGAUCAUAAUACCAUUUCUUCGACCAUUAUAUCAUUGCUCCGACCACCAUUCUCCUCCAAUUGUACCACUACUUUGACUACCGUACCUUGAUUUCAAUCCUGAUAUGGCCACCACUGUGAGUAGGAAUAUGUAUUUGAAUCGCAAGUUGGGUGGAGUUGGGGUUGGAGAUACGGCCACCAUUGUGAGUAGGAGUAUUUCUAGGUAAUUCAGUUUCUGCUCUUUCAUUACCAGAAUUAUGGUUUCCAGUGGCACACGUUUUUGUGCAUCACUAGUAGAAGAUAAUUAAAAUAUUUUUCCUUUCCAAUUCCUAUAAAGAUUACAAUGCCUUUUAGUUUCUUCAACUAAAUUCUCCAGAUAAGAAUUGGAAAUUAAAGAAUUAAAGAGAGAACGUCAGUAGAAAUUCAAUUGCAAGCUACAUAAUUCCAGAGAAAAGACUAUUUCAUAGCAAUACGCCAUAGCAAAGACAAUUGUACAACAUUAACAACAGGUGCAAGAUGGGAAACUCUUGUAGUAAUACUUUGUUUCGGGUUCAAGACCUACAGGGGCAGUCUAUAUAACCCACUUGCUGUUUUGGGGUGUUCUUCAAUUUGGGGAUGUCUUCAAUUUGGGGAUGUUAAGGCUUGUGGUUGUGAAGUCUAAGGUUGACUUGAUUACUUCUUCUGGCAUGAACCAAGUCUCCCAAUCCUUCCCUUCAAAGUUGUUCAAGAAGGGAAAAUUUUGAUUUAGUAAAGAAGAACUUCUUUUGGUUUGAUGCUGGUCAAGUUGCUUGAGUUAAGAGAGGCAAACCACCUAGAGUUCUGCAAAAUAAAGAGCAUGGACGAAGAGAUCUGCAGAUGUAUCAAAAUUCAGAGCUUCAUGCUAUUUUAGAGUUACUGAUGGAUCCUACUUGGUUGGUAACUCGGUUAAAACUUGAUUUUGACACACUAGUAAGUGAUGUUGAGUUGUUUAUUCCAUUUCCAAUUAUGAAGACUUCCUGUAUAGUUAAUUAUUGAAUGGUGUAUAAAGAGUGAUAAUCUCAUUCAAAUUUUUCUUUUACAUUUUCCUUUUUUAUAAAUGCUUUUGCAUUUAUGGGCUAAGAGUUCAAAGGUGAAAACAUGGAGCUACUCUUUAACUGUCUAGCGAGAAUGUUUCUUAUCAAUUGAAUGACUCCGCAGGUAAGUUUUCCACUUUAGCCUGCAUCUUCCACUACUUCUCAAUAAGCCUAAUAAAGCUGACAAUGCCCCCACCCAAUCAUUCCAAAGGGGAAAAAACCUCCACUCUAAUAAAGCAAAAAUAGAACAACAACAUAAACAGUGCAAUCUCACAAGUGGGGUAUGAGGAGAAUGGCUUGUAUGCAGCCUCAUCCCUACCUUGCAAAGGUAGAGAGGCUGUUUCCAAUAGACCAUGAACAAUAAAGCAAAAGUAGAAAAAAAGGGAGAAGCUUGGAUAACUGUAUUAACUCACUCGUCGGAGUUUGGAUAUUCGAUGUGUAAUAAGAAGUGCAUGCAGAUCCAUGCUAGAUCAGGAUAAAGUCUACCAGUGGCUAGCAGUCCAUUGAAAUUGUCAUGAAAACUUGAGUCAGAAAACCAAAAUUUGUUGUUGUUUAGACUUGUAUAUAGUGAACUCAAUUUGUUUCUUUUACUAUGACAGUGUUAUUUAUCCUUAUUAUUUUCCACAUUUUUCAUUCCAGGGAAAUCAUGGCAAAUUAUGCAGAUAUAGUAUUUGCAAACAGUGAAGAAGCAAAACCAUUCUGUCAUUUUUCAUCAAAAGAAAGUCCCCUUUCUGCUACAAGGUGUCCAAAAUGAAGGAGAUGAAGAAAGAAGUGAUGAAGAAAUUGACCUUACAUAAAGGAGAUGAUUGUCAAAAAUAAAGGAGAUGAAGAAAGAAGUGAUUUUAAUUAAUAUCAAUCUUUUUGAUUUUGAAUUUUGUGAAACUUAUCGCCACUCGAAUUUGAUUCUAUGUGUGAAAACUAAUGAUAAUUUGACUUUAAUAUUUUGCUUUUGUGUUUA